UUUUGGUUUUAUUUAGACUUUUUGUUUCAGCUUUGAAAGCUGCUGUUACUGAUGCUGUCUCGGCUGGUCUAUUCUUGAAUGGAGUUAACUGUUUAUUUUUUGCUUAUUUGGAUUUUUUUAAAGGUAGAAUUUUUUGAAGGCAAAUUUUUGGGGGGGGAACUGAUUUAACUGUUGUUGCCUGAUUUAAAUUUUUUCUUGAAAGAGAGCUCCUUUAGAUUUACUUGGUUCUUUCCUUUUGGAGCUGGGUAACUGUUUUUCUUGUAUGGCACAGAAAAGGAAUUUUUUCAGUCUCUAAGGACAUUCUUCCCAGAGGUAUUUUGGCAGCUGCUGUAGUCGUAAGUUGUAACUGUUUCAUAGCAAGUAUAGGUUGGACUUGUUUUUGACUUUUUUUAAAUAGCUGAAGAAAGCGUUGCUGUUACUAUCAUCUUGCGAGUAGUUUUUGACUGACUGACGGUUUCAGAGUUGAACUUUGCUUGUGGGGUAUCUGGUCCUACACCAUUGAACGGAGGCAUCAGCCAUUCUCGGCAGAAAUCAGUGCAGUUUUCUUAGGACUGCUUUCAGGCUGCCACAAGGUGAGAAGCUUUUCCUCUGCCAGGUCCUGUUGCCACAACGCCCCACCUUGGAGCCAGCCGACUAUGGACGGGAACCUACGAAAUCUAAUCAGAAGAAGUGCCAGGCUGUCCUGCUCUGCCUUUGUAAUCCCUGCGUAUGCCUCAUACAAAAAUGCUGGCUCACAGACACCCACUGCCUAGCUUUCUGCUGGAAGUUAUUCCAGCCAGGACCCCUGGUGUAAAAUAAAGCUGUUCACUGCCUCUCAACUUCCUCUGGUGUCGUUCCUUUCCUGGAUUCAGUUUUGCGCAACGCUGCCUCAGCCUUCCAAGUCCUGGGAUAACAGGUGUGUACCACUUUUUUCUUUAAUGCCAGCAUUGUUAUUUAAUAUUUUAAAAUGAGGAUUUGAAAUCUAGCAUUUCUUCCCUAAAACACUGGGAAUAUAUAAUUUCUUUUUUUAAUUUUUAGAUUUUUUUAUUUUAAAGGAAAUUAAUAAAAUGGAGCCAAACAAAACAGUGAGAACAACAUUGCAUUUCAAAAACAAGACAGAAGGAAAUCCCCCAUAGUUGCUAUAUUGCAUAUUAUUAUCCUUUAGGUAGAUACUCAGACUACUGGCUUUAGGCCUGCAAAGCCAGUCAAACAAUACAAACAUCAAGUUGUUUUUUUACUUCAGUAGCUAUCAUCUCUGCCUGUGUUCCUCUGAAUCAGCUGGUUGCUAGCUGGGGGAGGGGAGCGCAGCUCUUCUUGUCUCCUAACCCGGGCGCUGGCUGAGGGAGAGGGUUGGCUUCUUGGUUCUCCUCUCUGCCUGCAUGGCUGCUGCUGGCUCACAGGAGAGGAUUGGCUGAUUGGUUCUCCUCUUGGCCCACAUGGCUGCCACUGGCUUAUGGAAGGAGUUGGCUUCUUGGUUCUCUUCCUGGGGACAUAUACUUUCUAAAGGACAAAAAGAGAGUAUUGAAUCAACUCCAUUAAUUUGAAAUCUAAGGCAAGGGUUACUGAACUGAACAAAAUUAUACUUUAAACAUUGUUUGGUAUUCAUCCUGUGGGCUAAAAAAAAAUCCCAUACAUUCCUAAAUUUUACACAUAUGUCAUUUAAAAUAUCUAGUUGUCCCUCCAUAUCUGUGGACCCUGUAUCUGUGGAUUCAACCAACCAUAAAUACAGAAAGUUUGAAAAAAAUUGCAGCUGUCCUGAGCACAUAUACUCUUCUAUUAUUCUCCAAACAACACAAUAUUGUACCUAAUUACAUACCAUUUUCACUGUAUUGGGCAUUACAUGUAAUCUACACAAGAUGUAGAGUGUACAAGAGAAUGUGUAUAGGUUAUAAGCAAACACCUAGUGUUAGGUAAACAAGGGACCUCAGUGUGUGCUAAUUUGGAUCCCCUUGAUGGGACAGGGGCUGAACUCUCCCCUGCCUACCAAUGAUGAAGUGCAAUAAUGGGAUAUUCACCUAAAAUACAGCUAACAGUGAAACUUAAAGGGUGAGUUAAAAUAUAUUUAUGAUGUAUAAAUUUAAUGCUUUUUUCAUGUAGUCAGUUCACUUUCAUGUAGGAGUCCUGACGUGUACAUCUUACUGUUUUUCCGUUUCUCUCUCUCGCUCUUGAGCUCUUCUGGAAUUGAAGCUAGGGCUCUGCACC